GGAUAAGCUACAGGGGCUGAGCUAAGAACAGCUGAAUGAAGGAGCCAGCAAUCAUUAAAGAUCUACACAUUGCUAUACAAUGGGUUGUCAAGAAUGAGGCACUGUUCUGUGGGCGCAUAACCAUGCCAAGUUAUGGGUCAAUGAAUGAAGAUGACCGCCAGAAGGCCAUAGAUAACGUGAUGUAAAGAGAAGAACCAGAAGCAAGGGAGCCAUUCCUCUUUGUAUUUCAGCACAGAGAAGAUAUGGAGUUGUUUUUGCAGGCAUGUCUUGACCAACAGGGCCUCCAAGUUAAUGCCAUGUUCAACAAAUGACUGAUGGACAAGGGGCGGUGGUGUGUUUCUGUUUAAAUUAUUGAUAAUAAUAAAAAAAUAAGAUAAUUAACACCA